AUUGAACGCUGGCGGCAGGCCUAACACAUGCAAGUCGAACGAGUGGCGGACGGGCGAGUAAUGUCUGGGAAACUGCACGACGGAGGGGGAUAACUUCUGGAAACGGUAGCUAAUACCGCAACCCAUACGAUGUGCCCAGAUGGGAUUAGCUAGUGGGUGGGGUAACGGCUCACCUAGGCGACGAUCCCUAGCUGGUCUGAGAGGCAGACCAGCCACACUGGAACUGAGACACGGUCCAGACGCCUACGGGAGGCAGCAGUGGGGAAUAUUGCACAAUGGGCGCAAGCCUGAUGCAGCCAUGCCGCGUGUAUGAAGAAGGCCUUCGGGUUGUAAAGUACUUUCAGCGAGGAGGCGUUACUCGCAGAAGAAGCACCGGCUAACUCCGUGCCAGCCGCCGCGGUAAUUC
rnacentral:rRNA from 1 species